GAUGAACGCUGGCGGCGUGCCUAAUACAUGCAAGUCGAGCGAACGGACGAGAAGCUUGCUUCUCUGAUGUUAGCGGCGGACGGGUGAGUAACACGUGGAUAACCUACCUAUAAGACUGGGAUAACUUCGGGAAACCGGAGCUAAUACCGGAUAAUAUUUUGAACCGCAUGGUUCAAAAGUGAAAGACGGUCUUGCUGUCACUUAUAGAUGGAUCCGCGCUGCAUUAGCUAGUUGGUAAUGUAACGGCUUACCAAGGCAACGAUGCAUAGCCGACCUGAGAGGGUGAUCGGCCACACUGGAACUGAGACACGGCCCAGACUCCUACGGGAGGCAGCAGUAGGGAAUCUUCCGCAAUGGGCGAAAGCCUGACGGAGCAACGCCGCGUGAGUGAUGAAGGUCUUCGGAUCGUAAAACUCUGUUAUUAGGGAAGAACAUAUGUGUAAGUAACUGUGCACAUCUUGACGGUACCUAAUCAGAAAGCCACGGCUAACUACGUG
rnacentral:rRNA from 1 species